rnacentral:lncRNA from 1 species
AGUUUAGAGUUUAAAACUCUAAUGCUGAUUGAAAGGAAAAUUCAGUUUAGGGUUUAAAACCCUAAUGCUGAUUGCCUGGAAAAGCUCAGUUUAGAGUUUGAAACUCUAAUGCCGGCUGAAAAGGAAAAAGUUCAGUUUAGGGUUUUAAAACCCUAAUGCUGACUAAAAGGAAAAUUCAGUUUAGGGUUUAAAACCCUAAUGCUGAUUAAAAGGAAAAUUCAGUUUUAGGGUUUAAAACCCUAAUGCUGAUUGCAUGAAAAAGCUCAGUUUAGAGUUUAAAACUCUAAUGCUGGCUGAAAGGGAAAAGUUCAGUUUAGGGUUUAAAACCCUAAUGCUGACUAAAAGGAAAAUUCAGUUUAGGGUUUAAAGCCCUAAUGCUAAUUGCAUGAAAAAGCUCAGUUUAGAGUUUAAAACUCUAAUGCUGGCUGAAAGGGAAAAGUUCAGUUUAGGGUUUAAAACCCUAAUGCUGACUAAAAGGAAAAUUCAGUUUAGGGUUUAAAACCCUAAUGCUGAUUGCCUGGAAAAGCUCAGUUUAGAGUUUAAAACUCUAAUGCUGGCUGAAAAGGAAAAAGUUCAGUUUAGGGUUUAAAACCCUAAUGCUGACUAGAAGGAAAAUUCAGUUUAGGGUUUAAAACCCUAAUGCUGAUUGCAUGGAAAAGCUCAGUUUAGAGUUUAAAACUCUAAUGCUGGCUGAAAAGGAAA